UAUGAGGAGAAAUGAUUUAAAAAAGUAAAGUGAAAAUAAUCAGUUAAUUUUUGUUUUUGCAUUUUUAACUCUUAGCGGUGGAUCACUUGGCUCGUGGAUCGAUGAAGAACGCAGCUAGCUGCGAUAAAUAGUGCGAAUUGCAGACGCAUUGAG
rnacentral:rRNA from 1 species